UACGAAGGGGGCUAGCGUUGCUCGGAAUCACUGGGCGUAAAGCGCACGUAGGCGGCUUGCUAAGUCAGGGGUGAAAUCCUGGAGCUCAACUCCAGAACUGCCUUUGAUACUGGCGAUCUUGAGUCCGGGAGAGGUGAGUGGGACUGCGAGUGUAGAGGUGAAAUUCGUAGAUAUUCGCAAGAACACCAGUGGCGAAGGCGGCUCACUGGCCCGGUACUGACGCUGAGGUGCGAAAGCGUGGGGAGCAAACAGG
rnacentral:rRNA from 1 species